rnacentral:rRNA from 1 species
AUUGAACGCUGGCGGCAUGCCUUACACAUGCAAGUCGAACGGUAACGGGCCUUCGGGUGCCGACGAGUGGCGAACGGGUGAGUAAUGUAUCGGAACGUACCUUUCAGUGGGGGAUAACGUAGCGAAAGUUACGCUAAUACCGCAUAUUCUGUGAGCAGGAAAGCAGGGGAUCGCAAGACCUUGCGCUGAUUGAGCGGCCGAUAUCAGAUUAGCUAGUUGGUGAGGUAAAGGCUCACCAAGGCGACGAUCUGUAGCGGGUCUGAGAGGAUGAUCCGCCACACUGGAACUGAGACACGGUCCAGACUCCUACGGGAGGCAGCAGUGUGGAAUUUUGGACAAUGGGGGCAACCCUGAUCCAGCCAUGCCGCGUGUGUGAAGAAGGCCUUCGGGUUGUAAAGCUCUUUCGGCCGGGAAGAAAUCGUAUCAGCUAAUACCUGGUGCGGAUGACGGUACCGGCAUAAGAAGCACCGGCUAACUACGUGCCAGCCGCCGCGGUAACAC